GCUCAGUUGGUAAAGCACAAGGCUCUUAACCUUGUGCUCGUGGAUUCAAGUUCCAU
rnacentral:tRNA from 1 species